AUUGAACGCUGGCGGCAGGCCUAACACAUGCAAGUCGAGCGGAGCGGCGGACGGGUGAGUAAUGCCUAGGAAUCUGCCUGGUAGUGGGGGAUAACGUCCGGAACCGGGCGAUAAUACCGCAUACUCUCAGAUGAGCCUAGGUCGGAUUUGCUAGUUGGUGGGGUAAAGGCGUACCAAGGAGACGAUCCGUAACUGGUCUGAGAGGAUGAUCAGCCACACUGGAACUGAGACACGGUCCAGCCUCCGACGGGAGGCAGCAGGGGGGAAUAUUGGACAAUGGGCGAAAGCCUGAUCCAGCCAUGCCGCGUGUGUGAAGAAGGUCUUCGGAUUGUAAAGCACUUUAAGUUGUGAGGCGUGACCCACAGAAUAAGCACCGGCUAACUUCGUGUCAGCAGCCGCGGUAAUUC
rnacentral:rRNA from 1 species